AGAAACCUCUUUUGCUUUGAUAUUUGAUUAAUCUCCAAAAAAAAAAACUAGCCUCUCCAAAAACUAGCCUUUACAAUAACUCUUCUCCUUGAUUACUCUAAAAAAACCUCUCAAAAAUCCUUUACAAUAACUUUCUCCCCCAAAACUUCUUCCUCCCCUAAAUACAAAAUAUGAGAAGGCUUAUAUAGCCAUUUACCAAAUAUUUUUUAUUGUUUAUGUCUUCAUUUGUAGGUGCAAGUGGUGGUGGAGCAAGUGUGGCUAGUGGAGUAGGUGGUGGAGCAAGUGUGGCUAGUGGAGUUGGUGGUGGCAAAGGCAAGGAUUUAGUUAAGAAAAGUUUAGGUUGUGGGCUAGGGUUUUGAUGUAAAUUGGGCUUUGGGUAGUUAAGAUUUUGGGUUUAGGGUUUAAUUUUGGUGGGUUAGGUAAGGUUAAAUUGGGUUUUGAUGUAAAUGGGUUAAAAUUGGCCUACAACAGCUGCCCCUCUUUGCUUUUUAUCGUGUAACGGGAAUAAAGCAAAGACACAAAGAAAGGUCAAUUUUGCUUGGUCUUGCUAAGUAUGGACUUCUUUGGUGCUCUUCUCAUCCAGGUAGUCUCUUUCCAAACCAUUGUAUCUUGUCUUGAUCAAAUCCACUGCAUUUUCUGAUAUAUGUCUUGUAGCUUCGAUUUACUCCAAGGUGACUUCAAAAAGAUAAGAUCUACAGCUUCAAUCGACUCUUCCAUCGCUUUAGUCAGAUAAAAUUUGUGGUCUUCUCUUCUGCAACUUUUAGAAAGGUAAGAUCUGAUAUCAUCGAUCAGCUCCACUGCAACUUCAAUUAGCUUCACUGUAACUUCAAGGAUAUAAAAUCUGUGUCUUCGAUUAAUUCCAGUCUUUAUUCUUUACUCGGCAUGUGAUCCUGAGCUUAACUCAUUUCUCGCAAUAUGAAUUGACUCUUUAAAACUAAACAUUAAAAACAGAAAUUGAAAAUAGCUCAGCACGUGAGCCAAGGCUCAACUCACUUUUCGCAAUAUGAGUUGAUUUUUAAUACAUCGGUAUGUGACCCGAGGCUCAACUCACCUCUCAUAAUAUGAGUUGAUUUUUGCAAAGCAUAAAUUGAAAAAAAAAAUAAAAAUAAAAAUCAAUUGAAAAUACCUCGGUGUGUGAUCUGAGGCUCAACUCACCUCUCGCAAUAUGAGUUGAUUUUUUUAACAAAAUAAAUUGAAAAGAAAUUAAAAAUAUCUCAGCGUGUCCUGAGGUUGAACUCAGCUCUCGCAAUAUGAGUUGAUUUUUUGAAAAAACAAAAUUUGAAAAUACCUCAGCGUGUGAGUCAAGACUCAACUCACCACUCGCAAUAUGAGCUAAUUUUUUUUUGAAACACAGAAAUGGAAAACACAUCAGCAUCUUGAGGUUCAACUCACCUCUCGCAAUAUGAGCUAAUUUUUUUUGAAAGACAGAAAUUGAAAAUACCUCAACAUGUCUUGAGGCUCAACUCACCUCUCGCAAUAUGAGUUAAUUUUUGACAAACAAAAAUUGAAAUUACCUCAGCGUCUUGAGGUUCAACUCACCUAUCGCAAUAUGAGUUGAUUUUUUUGAAAAACAGAAAUUGAAAACACCUCAACGUAUCUUGAGGUUCAACUAACCUCUCGCAAUAUGAGCUGAUUUCUUUUAAAGAUAGAAAUUGAAAAUACCUCAACGUGUCUUGAGGCUCAACUCACCUCUCGCAAUAUGAGUUGAUUUUUGACAAACAAAAAUUGAAAUUACCUCAGUGUGUCCUGAGGCUCAAGUUAAUUUUUUUGAAAAACAGAAAUUGAAAAUACCUCAACGUGACUUGAGGUUCAACUCACCUCUUGCAAUAUGAGUUGAGUUUUGACAAACAAAAAUUGAAAUUACCUCAGCGUGUCCUGAGGCUCAACUCACUUCUCGCAAUAUGAGUUGAUUUUUUUAGAAACAUAAAUUUAAAAAACGAAAAUUGAAAAUACCUCAACGUGUCCUGAGGCUCAACUCACCUCUUGCAAUAUGAGUUGAUUUGAAAAGCAGAAUUUGUAAGGCAAAAAUUGAAAAACAGAAAUUGAAAAUACCUCAACGUGCCCUGAGGCUCAACUCACUUCUUGCAAUAUGAGUUGAUUUUUGAAAAACAGAAAUUAAAAACAGAAAUUGAAAAAUAGAAAUUAAAAAUACCUCGACGUGCCCCGAGGCUCAGCUCACCUCUCGCAAUAUGAGUUGAUUUUUGAAAAGCAUAAAUUGAAAAAACAGAAAUUGAAAAUACCUCAGCGUGUGACAUGAGGCCCAACUCACCUCUCGCAAUAUGAGUUGAUUUUUUUGAAAGAUAGAAAUAAAAACAUCAAAACACCAAAAGAUGUCAUCUGGUGAAACUCGGUGUCCUUUCCUUUGAUUCAGUACAGCUAUCAUCGAAAUCUCUUGUUCUGCUGAAAUACAUGUAUAUGUCAUGCAUGAUGUUAUCAUGAAAUGCACAUGUUUGCCUUAAAUGCCUUUAUGAUCAUGCUAUGUGCCUUGGGCUUGCUUGCCAUAUGUCCUUUUCCGUCAUGAUUUUUGAUGAUCUGCGUUCAUUGCUUUGACUCUUGACUUUCUCUUCAGGCCUUGUACCCAUCCUCUAGCUUCACGACUAAUCUGUGUUUCUCAGAUAUCGUUCUUUUGCCCCUAGUUGAACUUUGUCCUUGCUUUGAGGCUCUUGUACUUAUCAAAUUCUUGUCCGAGUAAUGCUUAGCACUUCUUUUGUUUAGAAUAUGUCAUUUCACUAUUUAUCAUGUAAAUGAACCACAUAAUGAGAUGCAUGAAAAUGGUCAAGUAGGGACAAAAGAAUACCUCACAUUUAUUCAUUUCAAAUGUAGCAAACAAAGAAAGUUAAUCAAUGAUAGUAAAAAAAAGUGUCAUAAAGAGAAAGGGGAUCGUAUUUCAAAAAAUACAAAUGCUCUAGAUAUUCAACGCAUGAACUCUUCCACGUUCCUCAAUCAAGAAUCUUUUCAAGCAUGGCUUUCUUGCGUAAGAGAUUUCGAGUUUUCAGAAAUGCUUCAAAUACUAUAGUCUCUCUGUUUGACCCACCGUUCAAAACGCCUUACUUUUUAAGCCAGUGCUUGCUUCAUUAGAACGCCCUUUAGGGUUUUCAUCCGAAUCUUUUGUGUUAAUUAAGAUGUCCUUUUCGUGUUUUCACCUUGAUCACUCUCUCUUUUUCUUUUUUCUUUUCUUUUUUUUAAGAUGCCCUUUUUCGGGUUUUCAUCUUGAUUUUCCUUUUUUAAGCAUAAUAUUUCUUCACAGCAUCUGAAUUCACUAGAUUCGGUAACUCCUUCCCAUUUAUCUCAGUGAGAAUCAAAGCUCCGCUCGAGAAUGCCUUCUUUACGACAUAUGGUCCUUCCCAAUUUGGUGCCCAUUUUCCUCGUAAGUCCUUCUGUAUUGGAAGAAUCUUUCUCAGCACGAGUUCUCCUUCGUGGAAUUCUCUUGGUCGUAUUUUCUUGUCAUAGGCCGCGAUUAUUCUCUUCUGGUACAUCUGUCCGUGACAAAUUACCUUUAAACGUUUUUCUUCGAUGAGGUUUAACUGGUCAUAUCGAGCUCGAACCCAUUCUGCCUCCUCUAGUUUCGAAUCCAUUAAGACUCAUAAAGAGGGGAUCUCAACUUCGAUAGGUAGCACAGCUUUUAUUCUAUAGACCAGAGAGAAAGAAGUUGCCCCCGUAGAUGUCCGUACAGAUGUGCGAUAUGCAUAUAAAGCAAAUGGUAGCUUCUCGUGCCAAUCUUUUUAUGUCUCAGUCAUUUUCCCAAUAAUCUUCUUAAUAUUCUUGUUGGCUGCUUUAAUAGCUCCGUUCAUUUUCGGGCGAUAGGGUGACAAGUUAUGAUGCUUUAUUUGAAACUGCUCACACACUUGCUUCAUCAUUUUGUUGUUCAGAUUCAAGGCGUUAUCUGAAAUGAUUCUCUCAGGCAAACCAUAUCGACAAAUGAUUUCCUUUUUCAAAAAUCUGCAAACUGCAGUCUUUGUCACAUUGGCAAACGAAGCAGCUUCUAUCCAUUUUGUGAAGUAAUCAAUAACCAAAAAAAUGAACCGAUGUCCAUUAGAAGCUUUUAGGGAAAUUGGCCCCAUAACAUCCAUGCCCCACAUAGAAAAGGGCCACGGAGAAGUCAUGACAUGAAGGGGCGAAGGGGCAACAUGAAUCUUAUCACCAUAAAUUUGACAUUUGUGGCAUUUUCUUGCAAAACUAAUGCAGUCGCUUUCCAUCGUCAGCCAAUAGUAACCGAGUCUCAUAAUCUUCCUGGCCAUAGUGAAACCAUUGGCAUGUGUCCCACAAAUUCCCUCGUGGACAUCUUCAAGUAUUUUUCUAGCUUCAAUAGCAUCUACACAUCUCAAGAGCACUUGAUCUUUUCCUCUUUUGUACAGGAUGUUCCCAUCAAGAACAAAUCCUGCUAUCAUUCUUCUGAUUGUUUGUUUGUCAUUCUCAUUUGCUUGUUCGGGAUACUUUUGGUUCUUGACAUAUUCUAAGAUAUCAUGGAACCAUGACCAUCCAUCUGGCUCUUUUUCAAUGCUGAAACAAUGUGCAGGGACUUCAUAUAUGCUCAUUUGAAGAGGCAUUAUUUUUGUUUCUCUGUUUGCUUUGAACAUUGAAGCCAAAGUGGCCAGGGCAUCAGUCAAUUGAUUUUCUUCUCGUGGGAGGUAAUUAAAAGUUAUUUCUUCGAAUUCUUUAAUCAGCUCUGCCACUAGAUCACUGUAUUUGACUAGUUUCGAAUCUCCCACUUCCCAAUCUCCACGGAUUUGGUAUAUCACCAAGGCUGAGUCUCCGUAUACCUUUAAACUUUUGAUGUUUCAUCCAAUUGCUGCACGAAGUCCCAUGAUACAAGCCUCAUAUUCUGCUAUGUUAUUGGUACAGAAAAGUUCAGCCUGGCAGUGAGUGGGUAAUGAUUUCCUUCUGGUGAUACUAAGACUGCUCCAAUCCCAUGCCCCAAUGCAUUCGAUGCACCAUCAAAACUCAUCUUUCAUGACUUUUCUUUUGAUGACUCACAUUCUUUUUCUAUAAUGCACAUUAAGUCUUCAUCUGGGAAAUCAAAUCUCAAUGGCUUGUAUUCCUCCGUUGUUCGAGUUGCUAAGAAGUCAGCUAUUGCACUCCCUUUUAUCGACUUUUGGCUCACAUAGACGAUAUCAUAUUCUGAUAGUAAGAUCUGCCAUCGUGCCAUUCUUCCUAAGAGUGCAGGUGAUUCCAUCAUGUACUUUAUUGGGUCUUACUUUGAAAUUAGCCAUGUCGUAUAAUACAACAUAUAUUGCUUGAGUCUUCGAGCUACCCAAACCAGAUCGCAACAGCAUUUUUCUAUGGAUGAAUACUUUGCCUCAUAUUCAGUGAACUUUUUGCUGAGGUAGUAGAUCGCCUUUUCUUUCUUUCCGAACUCGUCAUGUUGCCCCAGUACGCAACCUAUUGAAUUCUCGAACACAGUCAAAUACAAUAUCAAUGGUCUUUCCGGCAUUGGUGGUACUAGCACUGGAGGACUAGACAAAUACUGUUUUAUCUUGUUAAAAGCCACUUGGCACUCUUCGUUCCAUUCUCCGGGAUUAUGUUUUCGAAUGAGUCGAAAGAUUGGGUCGCAUUGGUUGGUAAGUUGAGCGAUAAAUCGGGCGAUGUAGUUUAAUCUCCCUAAAAAUCUCUGACUUUCUUUUGCGUACGCGACGGUGGUAACUCUUAAAUGGCUUUUAUUUUAUCUGGAUCAACUUCAAUGCCUCUCUCACUGACAAUGAAGCCAAGCAAUUUUCCUGAGGUAGCCCCAAACGUACAUUUGGCCGAAUUGAGCUUUAGCUGGAACUUUUUCAGUCUGUCGAACAACUUCUUCAGGUUCAUUACAUGCUCUUCUUCCCCUCGGGAUUUAGCAAUCAUAUCAUCGACAUAGACCUCUAUUUCUUUAUGCAUCAUGUCAUGGAAUAACGUCACCAUAGCCCUCUGAUAUGUUGCCCCAGCAUUCUUUAACCCAAAUGGCAUCACCUUGUAGCAGAAUGUUCCCACAUUUUUACGAAGGUAGUUUUCCCAUAUCCUCAGGGGCCAUCUUGAUCUGAUUAUACCCCGAGAAUCCAUCCAUGAAAGAAAGCAAUGAAUGUUUUACUGUGUUAUCCACAAACGUAUCAAUGUGUGGUAAGGGAAAAUUAUCUUUGGGACUUGCUCGAUUCAGGUCACGAUAAUCCACGCACAUUCGUACUUUGCCGUCUUUCUUUGGUACCGGAACUAUGUUGGCCACCCACUCUGGAUAUUUGGAGGUUUGUAGGAAGCCAGCAUCAAAUUGCUUCUUAGCUUCCUCCUUUAUUUUCAACAUCUCAGGUCUCAUCCGUCUUAGCUUUUGUUGAAUUGGUUUGCAUUCUGGCUUCAAUGGGAGCUUAUGGACCACUACAUCUUCAUCUAAUUCUGGUAUAUCCUGAUAUGACCAUACGAAUACAUCUUUGUACUCACGGAGCAAAGCAAUCAAAUUAUUUUUUGUGCCCCUUGAAAUAGAGGUCCCAAUCUUCACUUCUUGCUUCCUUUCUUCAGCUCCCAAGUUUAUUGUUUCAACAAAUUCUUGAUGAGGCAAAAUCUGUUUAUCCUCUUGUUCCACUAUUCUUAGCAAGUCAGGAGACGAGACAAUACUCUUCAGCAUUUUCUUCGGCUUCAAAUUUUCCUAAACAAACAACCUUCUCAAAAUUGAUUUUAGGACUCGUAACGGGUUUGCUCAUGCAAUUGAUAUCUGAGCACCUGAAAAUUGAAUGGAAAAGGAAACUAUAGAGGGGCAUCCAAGUAUUGAAACCAACAAACUAAAUGUUAUGGUAUGGCAUGAGGCAAAUGUAAAGAUAGGCUAUGAAAUGAUUAUGGAAUUAGUGAUAAUGCGAAAAAUCGUGACAAAAUGCAUCUUCAUUAAUAUUCAUUUAAAUGAUAAAGAGCGAAUGCAAGCUCUUACAAAAGAAUUCUAUUAUAUCUAAGGACAUAACAGAAUGUUAACGUUUGAGCAUUACUCUGGAGACUUAUAAACUAUAAGAAGAUCCUCGGCAGUCCAAUUGUUCAACAUAAAACCCGAGGGACAAGGGCGUAUCUUUGAGACGUCUUUAUUCGCAUCAGCUUUUUUGUCAAUGACAUUUAUACUGAUAUUCUGAAAACCCUCUUCGAUCAUUAACACAUUAUGCUUUGUGCACUAUACUGCCCUGGGUAUAUCAUUCCCGCAGACGUAAAUGUUCUUGACAAAUAAGGGAAUUUCAUGGGCUCCCAUUCUGGUUCUCGGCCUAAUGUUCUCGCGAUCCUUCUUUCUUAAUCUUUCUUCCACUGCUUUCUUCUUUGACACAUGUCCGGCUGGAACCCUAAACCGUAUCUAGCCUUGUGGUGUACUGGCUUUAGAGCCCUGACUAUUCCUUGCAGAUAUCUCCCUAAACCUCUUUUCGCUCGAGCUCCCCUUCCUAUAGUCAACUUGACACCCAUUCUGGUAUUUCUCGACAGUUUUGGCACCAAAAUUCUAUUUCCCUCAGCGACAAAAGUGGCAUUGACAAAUUCAAUGGAUCAGAAGGAACAUUCUACUGCGUCUUUGCUUACUUCAAGAUAUGGCGCAUCAGCAGAGAUAGAUGCGAUAAUGUCUUCUCCCUCGACAGUGACCAAACAACCAUCCAUGAUCAACUUUAGUUUUUGAUGGAGAGAGGAUGGAACUGCUCUAGCAGAAUGGAUCCAGGGCCUUCCCUGAAGGCAGUUAUACGAGGGUGUGAUGUCCAUGACUUGGAACUCGACAUUGUAAAUGUAAGGGCCCACUUCUAAAGGGAUAUCAAUCUUUCCCAUGACUUCACGCAUUGUCCCAUUGAAUGCCCUUACCGUGGAAUGACAGGGCCUUAAAUAGGACAGAUCUAUCGGAAUUCUGAAAAGCGUGGCCAAAGGUAUGACAUUAAGUUCUGAGCCAUUAUCGAUAAGCACAUUCAGUAUUAUGUAGCCCUUGCAACGCGUCGUAAAAUGUAGUGCUUUCACAGAGCCUCUACCAUUGGGUGGUAUUUCAUCAUCACUAAAAGAAAUGAAAUUAUCCGCAUUUAAGUUGUUCACCCAUCUGUCCAGCUUCUUCAUGGAUAUAUUGUUUGCCACGUAAGCUUUAUUCAACACCUUCAGCAAAGCGUUCUGGUAUGGCUCCGAAUUUAGUAGCAGAGAUAAAAUCAAGAUUCGUUCUGGCUGCUUAUUCAAUUGUUCCACCACAUUGUAUUCACUGUGUUUGAUAAAUUUCAAGAACUCUUGUGCUUCCUCCUCAUCCACAGGCUUUUUAAUUUCUUGCACGGGUGGAAUUUCUUGCUCGACUUCGGCCUCAUGCAUCACUCUUUCCCUUUUUGCUUCCAGUCACUAUUCUUCUUCACUGGUUCGACCUCUUUCGAAUAACUUCUACUCCGGGUAAAAUGACCUACCUCUCCAACAUCUCCAGUUAUGGCUUUGAGCUUUUCAUCUUCCGGUGUGACGAUAUUGAUGUCAUAUUUCUAUGGUACAGCUUUGUCGUCCUUGUACGGGAAAGGAGACGGUACUUCGAUUAUCAUUUUUAGUUUCACCGACUCUUUCGUCGCAUCGUAAUAAAUUAUUAACGGUCGAUCCGCGCUAUAAGGGAGACCUAAUGACUGGUUGUCAGAAGUGCAUACUUCUCUUUCGUUGGUCUCUUCCCUCUUGUUAAGGACCUUAAUCUCCUUAUUAUCCAUCCGAUCUUGAAGCAACCUUUUAAAUUCCUCACACGACUGAAUGUCGUGUCCUACAAUUCCAUGAAAAUUGCAAAAACUUUGACCUUCUCCGAGGAUUCUAUCGGGGUGACAAAGCAAUCCUUUUUAACCAGUACCUCCCAGAUUUUCUGCAGAGGCGUCCUUAUUUUUAAAACACAUCUUCUGACUUUCCAUUCGUCAUCUUUCCCCACUGUGCUCACAUUCCCUUCAGCAUGGUUAGAGAAUGGGUUCCCAGUUGCGUUACUGGCACUAUCAAACCGUAAUAUACCCGCAUCAAUGAGUCCUUGAACUCUCCUCUUAAAGGCUAGGCAAUUCUCCGUGGAAUGCCCCUGGUUCCUCGCGUGGUAUGCACAACUAGCGUUUGGAUCGUACCACUUUGGGUAUGGAGGUUUAAGGGGUGCCAUGUAAUGGGGAGAAAGUAGCUGUUUCUCCAGAAGUUUUGGGUACAAUUCCCCAUACGACACAGGGAUAAGAGUAAAUUGCAGUCUCUCGGGAUUAGGCCUUGCUGGUCUUAGUUCGUUUCUAGGCUGGCUUUGAGUGGGUACCGUGUUUUGUGGGAAUGUGGUGACGGGUCUUUGGUUGUUCGUGGCGUAUACAGGGUAGGAAGGAGGUGGUGCUUGGUAGUAAGGGGUUUGAGGGGGAUAAUAGAAAUUUGGAGGUGGAUAACUUCAAGGUCGGGGUUGGUUUGGAUAUGGAUUAGGGGCAUAACGACUUCCCAUUCCCACCAUGUGGGCUUCUAGUUCUUUCUUCAUGGGUGCUACCCUUCUUGAACUUUCUUGACCUUCCAUUCUACCGCUCUUGACGGCGUUUUCUAUAAGCUCACCGGAUAUUACAAUAUCCGCGAAGUCCUUCGUAAAGCUUCCCACUAGUUUGUCAUAAAACAGCGUCUUUAAGGUGUUGAUAAAAAGGACGAUUAUCUCCGUUUUCAUUAGUGGGGGUUCCACUUGGGCUGAGAUGUCCCUCCAUCUCUGCGCGUACUGUCUAAAAGUUUCUGGCGACUUUUUCUCCAUCAUUUGUAAAGUCAUCCGAUCAGACACCAUAUCUAAUACAUGCUUGUACUGCUCACAGAAUACCGACGCCAAGUCUUUCCAAGAUCGGAUCCUUUCCUUACUGAGCUGGUUGUACCACCGAAGAGCCGAUCCUACUAGACUGUCUUGAAAACAAUGUACAAGUAGCUUAUCUUCGUUCACGUAACCGGUCAUUUUUCGGUAAAACAUGACAAGAUGUGCUUUUGGACAUCUUGUCCCAUCGUACUUUUCGAAAUCAAGCACCUUGAACUUCGGAGGCAAGAUUAGGUCAGGUACCAAACUAAGUUAUUUAGCACCUAGUACCGAGAAGACUUCAGUGUCUUCUAUUGCCUUGAGUUUUUCUUCCAAAUUCCUAUACUUCUCUUGAGCCUCGUGAUCAUCUAUUUUCAACUUGGCUAUUUCGACUGGAUCAUCUAAAUCUGGAACUACAGGAUUGGCAGGGGUUGUUCCGGGAUUUGACAUAAAUGUUCCUUGCACUAGAUGAGCAAAUGGCAUAGGUCGUUGUUCCAAGCCUUUGGAUUCCCCUUGAGUAUACCCUCUUUGUGCUACGUGGGAAUGUGGUGGAGUGAAUCUUGGAGGAUAGAGUGGAUCCUGGUCAUGAUUAAUUCUUGAUUGAGGUUCCAUACUGUAGGGGUUCUGCAUGGGUCCUUUUCUUUUGACCGAAACUGAUAUCAUCUCCAUCAUUCUAGCCAUUUGAUCAUUUUAUUCAAGUGAUUCCUCCCGAGAUCUUACUAUCAAAUCCCCCGUUUCUUGCUGUGACUUAGCCAAUUGUUCUUGUAAUUCCUUCUGGACUCUUUCCAUCUUUUCGAUCCUUUCAUUGAACUCAGCCUCCAUUGCUCUGGCUUGUCGACGCGUUUUAUACGAAUGGUGUGAUUUCAGAUUUAAAGUGUUGCAACUGCGAAUUAUAUGAUUCUAACCUUAACGAAUGAUUAUGGGAUAUGUAUAUGCAAUGAAUGGAUGAAUUGAUGCAAAAAGAGGCGUUGAUUCCAAUUCAAUUUCAUUAGAACUUCACUAGAAGAAAAAUUUCUUUACAUAGAACAGAUGAUUACAUAUACGACUUCGCCCUAAUGCCCAAAGUCUUUUCUUAAGAAGCCAAGCUAAGCUUCGGCCUCAGUCUGAUUCCGAAUCGUACUUUAAGCUCAAUAUAUCAGCCUGAACUGCCAAGGUUUGCAAGUGAUCAGUUAUCUCUCGAACCUAAGCUAUAGCUUCGCCCAUGACAAAGUCUCUAUCUCUAAUUUGGUUUUAAGAGUGGUGAAACUGUUCUCUGUAAUGGUCAUUGUUUGUCUCAAGAAGUCCCACUCAAAUUUUGCUAUCUUGCAGUGCGGUCUCGAGUUCUUCUAUUUUCCCUUUCAACUCUUCGAUCCUGCUCAGACUAGCCUUUAACUUAAUUAUCGAAUUAUGGCUAUGAUGCUGCUGAAGUAAUCUUUCCAAUUUAGCCACCUGAGCUCGUAACUUCUCUUUUUCAUUUUGGGUUUCUAACAAACUCUUCUUCAGAGUGUCCUCUCGUACUCGGGCAUCUUGAAAUCUUUUCUCCCAAUGGUCGGCUCUAGUCUUUUCCUCUUUAAUCUCUUGACGCCAUUGCUCAGACAUUUUACCUAAUCCGACAAUUUUUAUUGUUAUACGAAGCUUCUUGUAAUCGAUUUUCAGACUAUCUAAAUCUUCCUCGGCCUUGUUCUUUCCUUUCUUUAACUUCUCGGCCUCUAGCUUGUGGAAAUCGACGUCUAACCCCAACUUCAUUUUAUAUUCUUCUAACUACUCUAUCUUCUUCCCCAACUCCGAGUUUUUUUCUUAAAAUCUUGCUUAAUGAUCUCUAACUCAGAUGGGAUGACCCGUAAAUACUCCUCUAUCAGUUGUGUGUUCCCUUGAUUCUGCCUAGGGAUGUUGUCGUUGACUCUCCUACCCUACCACCAUUUAUACUCGGGGGUCGUCAUCGGGCCUGCAGUGAAUCCUUUCAUUCUUCGAGUUUGGUUCCAUGCAUCUAAUAUCUCGCGAACCCUCUUUUUAUAAUUGUUGUCUUUAUAGGGGAACUCACAUUUUGCCAACCCUUGUGUCACCGGUAUAAACUGCCUUGAUACUUCCUUAACACCAUCAAUGGAGCGUAUCCAAUGGCUCCCCAUAUUCCAACCAGAGGGACGCAGUCAAAAUCACCGCACCUAUAUAAGAUCUCGUCAGGAAUAAACCACGGAGCCCUCCAUUCAAUGUCUUCGGUCCGUAAAUUUUAGAGAAUAGUUAUCCACUUCUCUUCGGAGAUGUCGUCCCGCCUCGAUGUGGCCACUAAUUCUCUUAAUGGGGAAUAAUCCUUAGAGAAUACCCGAUAGGAGACCUUUUCCACCUUCUAAAAAUGACUAUGGAACCAAGCCAAAAGAAGCUGUGUGCAACCAAUAAAUCUUCCCUCGCCCGCUCUCCGGCAUGUAUUCAAGGAUCGAAAAGUUUCUGCUAGGAUUGUCAGGACGGGUGUGGUACCUUUAUCAAGUCGAUCGAAUAAAUCUGAGACGGUUUCAUCUAUGUGUCCAAGUGCUUUAGGAAAGACGAUCAAAUCGUAGACUUAAGGCAUAAACAUCAACCCUUUUCUUCGAAUCCGGGUGCGCAAGAAUAAAAUCCCUCAAAUUCCUCCAAUGAAUACAUUUACUAUCCCCUUUUUGCUUGAUGCGGGUCGCAACCCAUUGCUCGCUCAUCCCCGUGAUAUUCAUCAAUUUCUUCAAAAAGGGAGGGACAUUAACAGCUCUUGAAUAGGCCUUAUCGGCCUGAAUCUUUGGGCAAUUAAGUAACACCAUGUUUUCCUCCACCGUAGGUACUAAAUCAACUCCUCCGAAAGUGAAGCAACUGUAAGUGGGGUUCCAAAAUUGCGCGAGGGCCCGAAACAAGUACUUGUCCACCUUUACAUCGAGUAAAUAGGGUAGGCCGUCGUAGUUACAGUAAAAGAGUUGUUUGACUUCGCCAUUCUGACUAUUCCAUAUAUCCCUUAACUCUUGCAGGUCGUUCUGAGUCACACUGAUGCGAGUGAAAUCCCACAACUCCGAUUCAUAUCCCUCGGUCAAACUAUCUCCUUUCUCUUGUUGCGUUCUCUCAGACCACACUCGGACGGCCGCAUUAUCCUCCAUUCUAUCAAGAAAUCAUUUUUCCAUGCUAAACUCUUCUAAUUAGUAACCAAAUGUAAAUCAACACCCUUUUAUGAUGAAAUGUCAUACAAAAAUGAUCAAAAUACAACAAGUUAAUAUUAUAUACAAAGAAUAGAAUUCAAAGCAAAUAGUGAGUAAAUAAGCACCUAAUCAGGUAACCACUAGGGUUUGGUGUGGUUCUACUUAGGCUAGGCUCCUAGGGCUCAUUACAUGUAGUUUGGUUCUAAAGUAAAGGUACCUGAACCAGCAGAUUCCUCGAUCCUCACCCAUUAUAGGUUCAUACAGACCGAGUUCGAUUCAGGGGAAUACAUUUUCCUACGGCUAUACGGAGGUGAAAACCCCAUGAAGACGCAGGUACGGAUGUAUCCCGAAAGCGAUCCACUAUCCUAUACGGAGGUGAAUACCUCACGAAGAAGUAGGUUUUCACUUCCACUUAAGAGGGUGAAAUCAACCAAUAAUGCGAUGCGAUAUGCAAAGAUACCUCAAAGAAUUAAACCACUUAAAGCAAGCAUAUUAUGAAGAGUCGCGAAAAUAACAGACAACAUUCAAUGCAGUAAAUUUAAAAUUGAUUUUCAAUUUUUGACAAAAGAAAAAAAAAUCAAUUUAAGGCUCGACUCUCGAAGUCCCCAGUGGAGUCGUCAAGCUGUCGAAACCAUUCUUUUGAAAACGGAGAUCAGACUUUGUUUGAAAGUGAAAAUUAAAACGGGAGUCGCCACCAAUCUUUUAUCAGGUGUGAUCGGAUCACCUUUGUUUUAAUAAAUCAAUUUUAGUUUACUAAAACAAGGCCUUUGGUAUACGAAACUUGAGAGAAUGAGUUCGGGAGUCGAUUACGUGCGAAGAAGAAUUAGCACCCUCGACACGCCCAAAAAAUUGGUACCGAAUUGAUUAGUUAGUGUCUUAAUAUCGAAAAUUAAAAAUCGGGAAGGGGCUUGAAAUACGAUCUUUUCUAUUAAUACUGAUUUUAAAAUUCUUGAAUUAGCUUAAAUAGAUUUGUUUAAAGAUUUCCUUAUCUCGAGAUAUAGGAGUAUCACAUCCCGUAAGUUAGGACACAAUACCAUGAAUUCCCGAGCACAAGAUUGUCUUUUAAUUUAAAUUGGAAAUCCGUGCAUUUCAAAACUCAAAAGGAUAUUUAGCUAUUUAGAACCAACAAGAGAACCGAAACCCCGUAAGUUAGGGCACAAUUCUUCGAUGUUCCAAAAUGCGAAACAUUUAUCUUAUUUAUUGAAAUUAGUAAAAACAUGAAUAAAAAUCUUUAAAAUAAUGAACAACAGAAUGAUAUAAAAUAGGCGGGAGACAAAAAUAAACGAGUUGGAAAUACAUUGAAACAAAUAAUAAAUAUGACAACAAUAUUAAAACAAUAACAAUGCAUGCGAUAUAUUAAAUGUAAUAAUAGUAUCCAAUGUGAAAUAAAAACAACGAAUAUAUACAUAAUAAAGAUAUUAAGAGUAUGUACGUAAAAUAUAUAUAUAUAUUUAUAAAUAGUAAUAGUGUUAGAAAUAUACUAUAUAUAGUGUUUGAAGUAUAUACAUAAAAUAGUGAAAAUAUAACUAGUAAUGUUAAGAUAUAUAUAAUAUAUACAUAUGUAUGAAAUAGAUAUAAAAAAAAUAUGUACAUAAUAUAGUGUAAAAAAUACAUACAUAAUAUAAUUAAAAUAUAUACAUAAUAUAACAUGUAGAAAAAAAAAUAUAAAUAAUAUAGUAUUAAAGAUAUAUACAUAAAAUAGUAUAAUAUAUAUACGUAAUAUAGAAUUUAGAAUAUACCUAAUAUAUUAAAAGAAUAUAUAUAUAAUAUAAUAUUAAAAAAUAUAAUAAUAACAAAAAAAAGAGGGAGAGAGUGGGUGAUUUCCGACCACCGUCCGGUCACCGAACCGCCGCCGGCCGCUGUCAGUGCCACCGUACAUGGCAGCUGGACCUCAAAAAAACUUUUUCGGUAAAAAUGAGAAACCUUCCUCCUUUUAUUUUUACUUUCGUAUAAAAGAAACAAAAUAAAACUGAAAGGAAAACAAUAAGCAAACAAAGAACUUAAAACGAGAAUAGACCAAGAAACCUCUUUUGCUUUGAUAUUUGAUUAAUCUCCAAAAAAAAACUAGUCUCUCCAAAAACUAGCCUUUACAAUAACUCUUCUUCUUGAUAACUCUAAAAAAAACCUCUUAAAAAUCCUUUACAAUAACUUUCUCCCUCAAAACUUCUUCCCCUAAAUACAAAAUAUGAGAAGGCUUAUAUAGCCAUUUACCAAAUAUUUUUUAUUGUUUAUGUCCUCAUUUGUAGUUACAAGUGGUGGUAAAGCAAGUGUGGCUAAUGGAGUAGGUGGUGGAGCAAGUGUGGGUAGUGAAAUAGGUGGUAGAGCAAGUGUGGCUAGUGGAGUUGGUGGUGGCAAAAGAUAGGAUUUAGUUGAGAAAAAUUUAG
rnacentral:lncRNA from 1 species